rnacentral:tRNA from 1 species
CGGAAUUAUAGUUUAAUUAAAAUAUUAGCAUUGGAAGCUAAAGAAUAGGUUGUAAAUCCUAUGUUCCGA